UGGGCAACCUGCCCUCAGCUCUGGGAUAACUCCGGGAAACCGGGGCUAAUACCGGAUACGACCUUCUCCUGCAUGGCAGUUGGUGGAAAGUUCUUCGGCUGAGGAUGGGCCCGCGGCCUAUCAGCUUGUUGGUGGGGUAGUGGCCUACCAAGGCGACGACGGGUAGCCGGCCUGAGAGGGUGACCGGCCACACUGGGACCGAGACACGGCCCAGACUCCUACGGGAGGCA
rnacentral:rRNA from 1 species